rnacentral:rRNA from 1 species
GGAGGGCGGGUGCUAUACAUGCAGUCGAGCGGACAGAUGGGAGCUUGCUCCCUGAUGUUAGCGGCGGACGGGUGAGUAACACGUGGGUAACCUGCCUGUAAGACUGGGAUAACUCCGGGAAACCGGGGCUAAUACCGGAUGGUUGUUUGAACCGCAUGGUUCAGACAUAAAAGGUGGCUUCGGCUACCACUUACAGAUGGACCCGCGGCGCAUUAGCUAGUUGGUGAGGUAACGGCUCACCAAGGCGACGAUGCGUAGCCGACCUGAGAGGGUGAUCGGCCACACUGGGACUGAGACACGGCCCAGACUCCUACGGGAGGCAGCAGUAGGGAAUCUUCCGCAAUGGACGAAAGUCUGACGGAGCAACGCCGCGUGAGUGAUGAAGGUUUUCGGAUCGUAAAGCUCUGUUGUUAGGGAAGAACAAGUGCCGUUCAAAUAGGGCGGCACCUUGACGGUACCUAACCAGAAAGCCACGGCUAACUACGUGCCAGCAGCGGG